AUGUAGCGAGCUGAGUGGGGAGGAGAGAGGGACAGAGAGCCUGCUUGCUUUAAAGGAGCCAACCGGACAGGAGCUGCUUACACUCGUGUAAGCGGCUCCUCUCCCGCUUUGCUCCUUUAAAGAAGCAGGCUCUCUGUCCCUCUCUCCUCCCCACUCAGCGGCUCUUCUC
rnacentral:miRNA from 1 species